ensembl:lncRNA
UAAACAGUAUAGUGGUGGAUCUGUAGGGUCUGGAUAGGUAUAAACAGUAUAGUGGUGGAUCUGUAGGGUCUGGAUAGGUAUAAACAGUAUAGUGGUGGGGUCUGGAUAGGUAUAAACAGUAUAGUAGUGGGGUCUGGAUAGGUAUAAACAGUAUAGUGGUGGGGUCUGGAUAGGUAUAAACAGUAUAGUGGUGGAUCUGUAGGGUCUGGAUAGGUAUAAACAGUAUAGUAGUGGAUCUGUAGGGUCUGGAUAGGUAUAAACAGUAUAGUAGUGGAUCUGUAGGGUCUGGAUAGGUAUAAACAGUAUAGUGGUGUAUCUGUAGGGUCUGGAUAGGUAUAAACAGUAUAGUAGUGGAUCUGUAGGGUCUGGAUAGGUAUAAACAGUAUAGUAGUGGAUCUGUAGGGUCUGGAUAGGUAUAAACAGUAUAGUAGUGGGGUCUGGAUAGGUAUAAACAGUAUAGUGGUGGGGUCUGGAUAGGUAUAAACAGUAUAGUGGUGGAUCUGUAGGGUCUGGAUAGGUAUAAACAGUAUAGUAGUGGAUCUGUAGGGUCUGGAUAGGUAUAAACAGUAUAGUGGUGGGGUCUGGAUAGGUAUAAACAGUAUAGUGGUGGAUCUGUAGGGUCUGGAUAGGUAUAAACAGUAUAGUAGUGGAUCUGUAGGGUCUGGAUAGGUAUAAACAGUAUAGUAGUGUAUCUGUAGGGUCUGGAUAGGUAUAAACAGUAUAGUGGUGUAUCUGUAGGGUCUGGAUAGGUAUAAACAGUAUAGUAGUGGAUCUGUAGGGUCUGGAUAGGUAUAAACAGUAUAGUGGUGGAUCUGUAGGGUCUGGAUAGGUAUAAACAGUAUAGUGGUGUAUCUGUAGGGUCUGGAUAGGUAUAAACAGUACAGUAGUGGGGUCUGGAUAGGUAUUAACAGUAUAGUAGUGGAUCUGUAGGGUCUGGAUAG